AGCUAUGGGUCAAGUCCGAUAUCUUUAGGAGAAGUCUUAUUGUAAGGGCGAGUUUUAUAACACCAUAGGACUGGCCGUCCCAUAUGAAAAGAUUAUAUUAGAAUUGAAUGAAGCUUUGUUUAUAUAUUGAUAAUGACAGUAUAUAUAUCGUGUCUUGACUAAUUGCGUGCCAGCAGUCGCGGUAAUACGUAAGAGACUAGUGUUAUUCAUCUUAAUUAGGUUUAAAGGGUACCCAGACGGUCAAUAUAGCUUAUAAAAUGUUAGUACUUGACUAGAGUUUUAUGUAAGAGGGCAGUACUUGAGGAGGAGAGAUGAAAUUUCGUGAUACCAAAGGGACUCUGUAAAGGCGAAGGCAGCCCUCUAUGUAAAAACUGACGUUGAAGGACGAAGGCACAGAGAACAAACAGGAUUAGAUACCCAAGUAGUCUUUGCAGUAAAUGAUGAAUGCCAUAGGUUAGAUGGGUGGGUAGUCUAGUUGAGUUAGUUUAGCAAACUAAUGAUCUAGACGAGCCCACCAUAUAUUUGGUCUAUAAAUGAAAGUGUAAGCAUUUCACCUCAAGAGA
rnacentral:rRNA from 1 species